AUGAAGAUGGCUAAGAUAGAGGUUAUCUUGGGUAUGAACCUUGGAUUGGGGAUGAGUAUCAGGUUGGGCUUGUAGUGUAUCACUACUCUUCAGCAGAAGAUCUACUUCUCAGUAUGAGUUUAUCUCAAGUGUUCUAUAACAAAAUAAUACAAGGUUUACCUGGCCCUAACAUUAAUAGACAUUACGAUCUAAAGGAGCCCCACUAUGAUUUCAUAGGUGAACAAGAGAAUGUGUGUAAGUCAGUCACAGGUUAAAAGCAAGCAAUUAGUUAGCAAUCAAGCUCUUCCGCAGCGCGCCUUUUAAUUUGAGGCCUUUAUCCCCGACCCCAAGCCCUAGUUUUCUACCUUUCUUGGGAUUGGCUAAUGCCGAUUUCCUUCUUAGAGCCCGGUUCGUAAGGCCUCUUCAGCUAAUAGAUGUGUCAAAGACCGGCCAGGAAGAAUAAUAGCCUAGAGCUAGAGGUUGACCCGAUGGACUAACGUUUUGGCACAUUAGACUAACCUAAGACAACUCCUGGCUACAUUCAGUCCUAUCGAGAUACAAGCGGUUACCAAGCUGAUACAACGCAAGUCACAAGCUUGACACAGC
rnacentral:lncRNA from 1 species